rnacentral:lncRNA from 10 species
CACAGAGCAAAGAUUUCUGCAUGUGGACGUAGGCAGAGCUCGCACUUACGCAUUUAUAAUCCAAAGAAGGCCAAGGGUAACUGGUAACUCUCAGAAGCAGAAAAAGAAGCUUGGGACGGACUCCCCUUCAGAGCUCUGUAGGGACCAAUUUUGCUGAUGCUGUCUCUUCCAGAUCCUUCAAGAUUGGAAAAAGAAGGUGAUGAGCAUUUUUAAACUCAGUUCACUGAGCACUGAGCAAUUGCUUAAGGGAAGGUCAAAGAACAGAAAAAAAUAUUUGAAGAAAAGAAGAAAAGAUCUAACCUUCAUUAUACAGGUGCAAACAGGAUUGCACAGAUUGCCUUUUGUGAUAAAAAGAGGAAGAAAAAUGGCAGCAACCCAGAUUAUUAUUAUACUUAAAUGGUCUCUCACACUUUAUGAAGAUCUUUGUGUAAAAGUAUUAAGCAGUCCAUUUAACAGAGAAGUAUGUUUGUUUCACAUGUAUCAGAAAAUGUGAGUCUUAAUUAAAAUAGAUCCUGACGUCAAAUGCUAUUGAUGAGCAGUUAUUAUUCUAUAUGCUAUAUUUUAUAUCAGUGUAAUGUGUAUGAAGUUUUAAAAGACCUUCUAGGUUUCUGCCAGAUAGUGAUACAGUGAUAAAAUAUCAGCAGUUCAAAAAAAAAAGAAUGAAAGGUUUAUAUGAAUGAUGACACUGAAAAAAAAAAACAGACCCUCAGAACUAAGGUAUCUCUUGAUAAAUAAAGCUGUUAGAUGUUAUGUGGCAAUAUCAGAUGUCAGGAGACAGAAAGAAAGUAUUAGUUGCUUCCAAGGGAUCUGAUAUAAUGAAUAUAGUAAUUAGGUAGAUUGAUCACGGUCCCUCGGUUAUAGAAUCAAGUUGAUAAGACUCUACUAGUGAGUGGAAGUUGGUGGGGUCAAGAUUUGUUAAGAAAAUCUUAUGUAUUGUUUAGCAAACUAUAUGUAGAAGAAACUACUAGAGACAUAGAGAAUUACACAAUGUUUAUAGGUAGACAUAAAACUGAAUAAAACUUCAUGUAAUGGUUGUUAUAUAUGCUACUUAGUUUUUCACCAACUUAUUUCUUUUAAUAUUUCAUAAAAAUUAUGUUUUUAAAAUUAAUUUAUAUUCAUAUACAUAGUUCUAGUUUAGUCACAAUGUUUCAGAGUGCAUACAUAUGAAGUAAAAUAUAAAGAAUGUAAAGGGGUGAUAAAUAUAAAUUCAGAAAUGUAAAUAUCUCUAUGUGGAAGAAGAAUACAAUCAGUAAAAUAUGUAGGAAUGAUUCAACUCUGUUUUAAGCUUUAUUUGUUAAUAGUGGAGACAGAAUUUUUUGUAUUCUUUAUUCAUUUUAUAUUCUUGAAAUAGUUCAAAAUAAAUUUAAGUUUUCUCCAAAA